UACGUAGGGGGCAAGCGUUGUCCGGAAUCAUUGGGCGUAAAGAGCGUGUAGGCGGCCCAAUAAGUCCGCUGUGAAAGUCCAGGGCUCAACCCUGGAAUGCCGGUGGAUACUGUCGGGCUCGAAUCCGGAAGAGGUGAGUGGAAUUCCUGGUGUAGCGGUGAAAUGCGCAGAUAUCAGGAGGAACACCAAUGGCGAAGGCAGCUCACUGGGACGGUAUUGACGCUGAGACGCGAAAGCGUGGGGAGCAAACAGG
rnacentral:rRNA from 1 species